rfam:Lactobacillus parafarraginis F0439 genomic scaffold Scfld365, whole genome shotgun sequence.
UAAGAUCACUAGGGGUGCCUUGUGCUGAGAUGGCGUUUCGCCAAUCCCUUUGAACCUGAUUUGGUUAAUACCAACGUAGGGAAGUGGAAAAAUGAGAAC